CUUGCCCUUCUUUGCCUUUGAUCUCCUUCAUUCUCCGAUCAACUAUCACCAUUUUCUUCUCACCAGCAACAAUUACUCAUCCCACAACAAAAUCAGCAGAUUUUGUACCAGUAAAAUAAAGUGGGGAGCUCUACGAUUCGAAGUCGUGAGUAUACUCAUCGUGUAAAGUGUGUAUCGGUGUCAAAGUUCACUUCACAUGAAGUUGAAGCUCUUCAGAGUGGUGGUAAUCAGGUUCGUCUUACUGGAGUCCACCUGCACAUUUGGUUGAAAUUUUCUCUAAUACGAGGAUCGACCAUUGAACCUGGCAUAUCAUUGAUCAAAAAAAGAAA